AGGAUGCUGAUGAACGUUUGG
rnacentral:siRNA from 1 species